rnacentral:rRNA from 1 species
AGAUUGAACGCUGGCGGCAUGCCUAACACAUGCAAGUCGAACGGGAGUAGCAAUACUCUAGUGGCGGACGGGUGAGGAAUACGUAGGAAUUUGCCCUUAAGUGGGGGAUAACCCGGGGAAACCCGGAUUAAUACCGCAUGACCUCGAAAGAGCAAAGUGGGGGAUCGCAAGACCUCACGCUUUUGGAGAAGCCUACGUCGGAUUAGCUAGUUGGUGAGGUAAUGGCUCACCAAGGCGACGAUCCGUAACUGGUCUGAGAGGAUGAUCAGUCACACCGGAACUGAGACACGGUCCGGACUCCUACGGGAGGCAGCAGUGGGGAAUAUUGGACAAUGGGACGCAAGCCUGAUCCAGCAAUGCCGCGUGUGUGAAGAAGGCCUUGGGUUGUAAAGCACUUUAAGUUAGGAAGAAAAAACGUACGACGUCUAACGAACAGUGAGUACUUGACGUACCGACAGAAUAAGACACCGCGUAACUCGUGUCGACCACGACGAGACCGCGGUAACGUCGUU